UACGUAGGGUGCAAGCGUUAAUCGGAAUUACUGGGCGUAAAGCGUGCGCAGGUGGUUGUGUAAGCUUGAUGUGAAGGCCCCGGGCUCAGCCUGGGAAUGGCAUUGAGGACUGCACGACUAGAGUGUGGCAGAGGGGGGUGGAAUUCCACGUGUAGCAGUGAAAUGCGUAGAUAUGUGGAGGAACACCAAUGGCGAAGGCAGCCCCCUGGGUUAACACUGACACUCAUGCACGAAAGCGUGGGGAGCAAACAGG
rnacentral:rRNA from 1 species